AUUGAACGCUGGCGGCAGGCCUAACACAUGCAAGUCGAGCGGAAACGAAGAGGUGCUUGCACCUCUGGCGUCGAGCGGCGGACGGGUGAGUAAUGCUUGGGAAUAUGCCUUAUGGUGGGGGACAACAGUUGGAAACGACUGCUAAUACCGCAUAAUGUCUACGGACCAAAGUGGGGGACCUUCGGGCCUCACGCCAUAAGAUUAGCCCAAGUGGGAUUAGCUAGUUGGUGAGGUAAUGGCUCACCAAGGCGACGAUCCCUAGCUGGUUUGAGAGGAUGAUCAGCCACACUGGGACUGAGACACGGCCCAGACUCCUACGGGAGGCAGCAGUGGGGAAUAUUGCACAAUGGGCGCAAGCCUGAUGCAGCCAUGCCGCGUGUGUGAAGAAGGCCUUCGGGUUGUAAAGCACUUUCAGUAAGGAGGAAAGGUUAAGUGUUAAUAGCACUUAGCUGUGACGUUACUUACAGAAGAAGCACCGGCUAACUCCGUGCCAGCAGCCGUGGUAAUACGGAGGGUGCGAGCGUUAAUCGGAAUUACUGGGCGUAAAGCGUACGCAGGCGGUUUGUUAAGCGAGAUGUGAAAGCCCCGGGCUCAACCUGGGAACUGCAUUUCGAACUGGCAAACUAGAGUGUGAUAGAGGGUGGUAGAAUUUCAGGUGUAGCGGUGAAAUGCGUAGAGAUCUGAAGGAAUACCGAUGGCGAAGGCAGCCACCUGGGUCAACACUGACGCUCAUGUACGAAAGCGUGGGGAGCAAACAGG
rnacentral:rRNA from 1 species